UGGGCUGUUAUGCAACAGGAGAAGAGAAGAGUGGUGCAAUGCAGACACUGCUGAGCAAGGCAUUAGUCUGGGAACUUACAGUCCCAGGGAUUUCACUUGUUUCCUGGCAUUUGCUGAUAGAAGUUCAUGUUGCUUCCUCAUUAAUUAAGGGUGCCUAAGAGGAUAUUUCUACACUAUGAAGAGAGCUUCAGGAUUGGCAUCUGGAGGGAGUGGGGCCAGGCCAACCAAUAGCGACGGAGCUGGGACAGGACUUCAGAAAGAUACUAUUUCUGUCCUCUUGUGACUGCAAAGGAAAAUCCAUGUAACCAAAAGGAGAAAGAAUGUUUCUGCUGAGAAAUUAUUGCUUCUUUCUUCCUGUGGCUGUGGAGGAAUAUAGCAGAAGAAGAAAAGGCAUCUCCACACUGUCCCUGUGGCCUAUGGAUUACAGACUGCCUCUCAAAGGAUGCUGACAGAAACUUCAAGUUAUAAUUACUGCCAGGUUGCCAAGAUACUGGAGGGCUUCACUGGCAGUAGCAAACAUCUGUCUGCAUGAUCCUAAAUUUCAGUGGAAUUAAGAAAAUAAUAUUCUCAAUAUCAGAAGGGGGCUGAGUCCCUCUUUCACUUGGAUUCUUGUUUUACAGAGUAUUUUUGUAAAUAUUUACUAUUCAUAUGUUAAGAGCUACCUUACUAAAACAUAAAACAUACAUUACUUCCUUACUUACUCAUAGCUACCUUACUAAAACAUACCUCUCCGUUUAAGAGGAGUACAGAAAUCUUUUGUACAGCAAAUGUCUUAUCACAGGAUCACGGAAUGGUUUGGGCUGGGACCCUCCAAGCUGCAAGUGCCCUGCUGGGAGGGAUCUUUCAUUCUUGGUGGAGGGACACUGGUGAAAUAUAAAAAAUAUAUUCCAGUGGAAUUUACUUACACACUCCUUGAAUGGAGGAUGUAAAUCCUUUUAGCCAGCUCACAAUUUAAGAGACUUCAAAAGGUAGUCUUUGAAGUUCAGAAAAGACCUUUGAAGUGGCUGCAUAUGCAAAAAAGAAAUUAGUGUAUAGCACAAAGUACCGAACUUCAUUAAGUGCUUUUGUCAAUUAGAAAAUACAGCAGAUUUUGCAUAGCAAAAGAAGAAAAUUAGGGCAUCCUUUUCACAAAGGCUUUGGCUAUGUCCUGACAGAGGCUCUGGAGUUACCUAAUGGUUACAGACUACCAGGUAGCCCCGUGGGGGAUACACAGGCUGGACACACCUCUUCCCUUUGGAGAGGAGCGUAGCUCUCAGACACAGAUAACAAUUUCUGUUCUUAGGAGCCAGUGUGGGAUGUGCUCCUGCCCAAGGGACAGAGCUGCAGCUUCACCGAGC